GGAGAGCGAUCGAUCAUGGAGCGUUCUUCCUCACUCACAAUCACCGCUGCCCUCCUCGCUCUCAUAUGCUGUACCUUGGCGUGCUCGGCGGCGGCCCAAGUUGCUCAGGGUGGAAGCCGUGAACCGAUACAUCCGCCAUCCCCGCUGUCCCGCUCACCGAGUCGGUCAGGGCAGGCGCGGCUCACUCCGCCUCCACCGCGGAGGAGGCCGACCAUGGCGACGCCUUUUGGGCCACACCGCAAGACCCUGCAGGAUGCAACAAGCCUCAAUUAGUUAAGUAUGAAUUAUGAAACACUGAUGCGAUGUCCGAGUUGAAGUGGAGAUGUGUUAUCUUCCAAACAUCUGUAUGUGUGCCUACCGGCGUUAGUGUUUGAUUCUAUGACGUGAAAAUAAUGUCAAUUUAUUCGUUUGAUGAAA